GGCUAUCAUGUGUUUGAAGAUACCCUAAACUUAACCUAACAUAUCCUAUCAAAACCAAAACAAACACUAUAGGUCUUGACUCAGAACAUUCAUAUAAGCUUCCUUCCUAAUGAGACUUUCUAUACAUAAAAGUGAGGUCAUUCUUUGUUGAUUUAUACCAUAAGGGGCUGGCUAUCAUGUGUUUGAAGAUACCCUAAACUUAACCUAACGUAUCCUAACAAAACCAAAACAAACACUAUAGGUCUUGACUCAGAAAAUUCAUAUAAGCUUCCUUACUAAUGAGACUUUCUAUACAAAAAAGUGAGGUCAUUCUUUGUUGAUUUAUACCAUAAGGGGCUGGCUAUCAUGUGUUUGAAGAUACCCUAAACUUAACCUAACGUAUCCUAACAAAACCAAAACAGACACUAUAGGUCUUGACUCAGAAAAUUUAUAUAUGCUUCCUUCCUAAUGAGACUUUCUAUACAAAAAAGUGAGGUCAUUCUUUGUUGAUUUAUACCAUAAGGGGCUGGCUAUCAUGUGUUUGAAGAUACCCUAAACUUAACCUAACGUAUCCUAACAAAACCAAAACAGACACUAUAGGUCUUGACUCAGAAAAUUUAUAUAUGCAUCCUUCCUAAUGAGACUUUCUAUACAUAAAAGUGAGGUCAUUCUUUGUUGAUUUAUACCAUAAGGGGUUAGCUAUCAUGUGUUUGAAGAUACCCUAAACUUAACCUAACAUAUCCUAUCAAAACCAAAACAAACACUAAGUCUUGACUCAGAACAUUCAUAUAAGCUUCCUUACUAAUGAGACUUUCUAUACAAAAAAGUGAGGUCAUUCUUUGUUGAUUUAUACCAUAAGGGGCUGGUUAUCAUGUGUUUGAAGAUACCCUAAACUUAACCUAACGUAUCCUAACAAAACCAAAACAAACACUAUAGGUCUUGACUCAAAAAAUUCAUAUAUGCUUUCUUACUAAUAAGACUUUCUAUACAAAAAAGUGAGGUCAUUCUUUGUUGAUUUUUACCAUAAGGGGCUGGCUAUCAUGUGUUUGAAGAUACCCUAAACUUAACCUAACAUAUCCUAUCAAAACCAAAACAAACACUAUAGGUUUUGACUCAGAACAUUCAUAUAAGCUUCCUUACUAAUGAGACUUUCUAUACAAAAAAGUGAGGUCAUUCUUUGUUGAUUUAUACCAUAAGGGGCUGGCUAUCAUGUGUUGGAAGAUACCCUAAACUUAACCUAACGUAUCCUAACAAAACCAAAACAAACACUAUAGGUCUUGACUCAAAAAAAUCAUAUAAGCUUCCUUACUAAUUAGACUUUUUAUACAAAAAAGUGAGGUCAUUCUUUGUUGAUUUAUACCAUAAGCAUAUAUAAAUAUACCAAGAAGCAUAUAUAAAUUUUCUGAGUCAAGACCUAGUGUCUUUUGGUUUCGUUAGGAUAUGUUAGGUUAAGUUUAGGGUAUCUUCAAACACAUGAUAGCCAGCCCCUUAUGGUAUAAAUCAACAAAGAAUGACCUCACUUUUUUGUAUAGAAAGUCUCAUUAGUAAGGAAGCAUAUAUGAAUUUUCUGAGUGUUUCUUUUGGUUUUGUUAGGUUAUGUUAGGUUAAGCUUAGGGUAUCUUCAAACACAUGAUGGCCAGCACUCUGCAAGUUAUUUUGCAGCUGCGGCUUCUGGCUGCGGCGGGUGUACAACAGGCAUUGAAAAGUCAAUCAGUUAAUGAUUUGUGACAGAAACAGUUAUCAGAUUAUUUCAUAACACCCAGAAAAGCACCAAAAGAAAAGUUUCGUAAGCCUGUGUGAGAUUGGCGCACUUGUAAAAUUUUACCCAUUCCCAUAACAAUACGGCCCUCCCGCAGGGCUCCACUGCCAACCUGGCAGCCUCAAUGCCUCGUAGUCCAUUGCGAAGUGUGCUGUGCAGCUAUACAGACAACGUGCACACAACUUAAAAAAUAUAUAUAUAUAUACCUAUGCUUAUUAGGUUCGUUGGUAUUAUUUUACUUUUUUUUUUAUUUUCACAGUUUAUAAUGGACUUUUGGCAUUAAUGGACUAAGUUCCCCCCCAAUUAAUCCAUUAUAUCGAGUGUUUACUGUAUGGUAUUUUGAGGUGGUAAAGCUAAACUAUAGAUACAUUUACAACAUGAAAAAAAUUAAUGUAGUUCUCCAGGGUUACCAAGAAAGGUUAUGCCGUUAAUAUGCAGGAGGAGUAGGCGUGGUCUGUGAAGCACAAGGGAUAUAUAUUCCAAUUUAUUUAGACCUCAGUUUAUUCAGGAUAACCUAUUGAGCAUCAGAAAUUGUCUAAAAAAUGUUUAAAUUGGAAUAAUAACAUACAUAAUUGGAAGCGCAAUCAAUCAUACUCCCCGCAUCAUGGCUCAUCAAACGCUGGGUGAGAGGCUGAGAGCAACUCGAUUGAGUAUUCUCUCAUUACUGCUGUGCCGGCACCAUUGCCAGAUUCUCGUACUCAGAGCAUCAUAUUUACCAGUUCCUGACUGAUAACUAUUGCUCAGAAGCACCGAUAAUUAACCAUUUUAUUGAUAGCUACAUAUGAAGCCAGUUAUAUGGGUCAGAAAACAGCAAACAUAAGAGGCUGAGUACGACAAUCUGGCAACGUUGGUGGCUGGGUAGGAGCUUUCAAGUAGUCAGGGCCAAUCACGAGCACUGACUUAUUGUUGUGGCCAUUGAGAUACAUAUCUAGACUCAAAGCCAAUCAUAUAGCUCCUUUUCACUUGCUAGGAGAAGCAGGAAGGAUUUGAAUUCACUCUUUUCUUAGACAUGGAGUGUAAGACAUGCUCCUUAACCCGGUAGCAGCAGGAAUCACGUUUCUUAAUGGUCCCUCCAAGCGAGAAAAAUGACAAAAAAUCACCCCUCACACAAACCAUUUCAUAAUAUAUAUCAAAGCAUUUGUGAUCAGAUUAUGCAUCAUCUAUUUUAGGGGGGUUUAUAUCAUGGCAUAAAUUUGGCCCGUCGCUGCUACACGGCAAAGCCACAAAUUUGGCCCGUCGCUGCUACCAGGUUAACUGACUUCCAAAUAAUUCAGCGCUAUUUGGGAAAUGAUAAGGGGGUAUUGAGUGCCUUUGAAGAACAUGGAUUACCCACUAAGAGGCAGUGCGGUAAUUGUGGGUGUGAACUGUCUCUCAGAUCAAACAAGAGACAAGUCUACCCUCCACUGAAGUAGGUUAAGUAUUGCAUUAAAAUUUAGUUUCAUGUUCUUUUGUGGACACAGAUUAUGUUUUUAUGGGCAGAAUGUGACUUUAUUUUGUGGAGAAUUUAUUUCUGAGCAAACCAGUAACAGUAUAGGUCAAAAGAAAAAGGACGGGUAGAAGGAGGAGCGUAAGGUUGGAAGUCGGGGUUGGUGUAUUUUUUAAAUAGUUUAUAAUUAUAAUUGUACUUAAAGGGGGGCAAGGGGGGGCAAAGCACUUCCCAUUAGGUAAGGUUGGUUUUGUUUAAAAAUAAUUCAUGAUUACUGAGAGAGAGAGAGAGAGACCCUCACUCCCUCGCUCUCACAGAAAACGGGUGUGGAUGGCACGGCAUGGGCUGGGUGUGCUAUGGGGAGCUAUAGUAUUCCUGAUAUAAUUACUCCCCAAAAUUAGUUUUUUUACUGGUUUGCACAGAAAAAACUAUCUCCACAAAAAAAGUAGUCAUAUUUUGCUCAUGAAAACAUAGUCUGUGUCUUGAAAAUAAUAUGCCUACUCCUGCUGCAUUUUUACUGUUUAUACUAUGUGAUAAAACUAACCUAACCUAAGCAAACAAGGCACCACAAAAAAGGUACAAAUGACUGAGCACAACUCCACACACAGUGAAACAUGACAAGUGCCUGCCACAAGAUAUUUGAAACUUUACCAUAACAUCAAUGAAGAGCGUGAAACAAAAACUGGGCAGAUGAUUGAGUAAGGGCUGAUUCACACAACCAAUCUGGGUUCAGACAGGCAGGCCGCCAGCUUGUUGUUUACUUACUUUACUUACUUUCUUAUGAUCCCGUCAAGAUUUCUUACAUACAUUCUAAUACAACUGUUGAAAUUGACCUCUCUCUUUGCCACUCUAUACUAAUCGCUAUAUGAGAGCAACAGUUAGCGGGCUUUCUUUUUUUUAAAUCUUUUUGUUGCCCUUGAGUUGCUGUGCUGAGAAUGGGUAGAGAAAGUUCAUUAUUUUUAGAAGCAAAUAGUCUAAAUAUCACGUUAGUAUUGUUAAUAUUACAAUUUAUUCCCUUUUAACCCGUAUUAGAACUUGAAUAUAGUAAUAAAGGUUAUACAUAUCACUGUGGAGCACUAUUUAUAGGUCAUGUUUUAGAGUUGUAUACGUAGCCUUCCCCAUUCAGAUAAAAAAAAAAUGUUCACAUGGUCUUAACCCAGUAGCGGCAACGGGCCAAAUUUGUGGCUUUACUGUGUAGCAGCAACCGGCCAAAUUUGUGCCAUGAUUUAAACCCCCCCAAAUAGAUGAUACAUAAACUGAUCACAAAUGCUUUGAUAUAAAUUAUGACAUGGUUAGUGUGAGGGGUGAUUUUUUCUCAUUUUUCUCGCUUGGAGGGAAGAACCAUUAAGAAACAUGAUCCCCACUGCUGCCAGGUUAAAAAAAAAAAUGUUCACAUGGUCUUAAAUUACCCAGACAAACCACCUUUGCCAGGAAGCAAACCUCAGGGACCAUAUUCUCAAACGCUUCGCCACUUACACACUCACAUUUGACAGGUUUUUUGAAGAGGAAUUGGGCAUUUCCAGAGGUACAUUUAUGAUCCUGGUGGUAGUUUGACCCCUCUUCUGUACCUUAAAUGUGAAAAACACCCAUGAAAACCUGAUUAAACUCCAUUUUAGCCUUUGGAAAUAUAUGACAUGAGAGGUGGAAGCGUCUGAGAAUACCGAUCCAGCUGUGCCAAUGACAAUCAGUGUGGCCCAAGGAAACCCAGCCGAGACCAACAAGGGCCAUAUUAUUAAACAUUUCAUUGCCCAAGUUCACAUUUUAGACAAGGCUUGCGUAGGAGCUGUAAGCCUUUCCAGGAGUAAUUUUAUGACCCUGGUGGUAGUUCGACCCUUCUU